rfam:Flavobacterium hercynium strain DSM 18292 43415_contig_2, whole genome shotgun sequence.
AUCACACUUUAGGGGUGUCUACUAACAAAGUAGGCUGAGAUUUUACCCUCUGAACCUGAUCUAGUUCAUACUAGCGUAGGGAAAAGUAAGAUGACUUCU